CGGCCCCCAGGUCGAGUUGUAAUUUGUAGAUUGUAUCUUGAGAGCGGAUUAAAGUCUGUUGGAACACAGCGCCUUAGAGGGUGACAGCCCCGUAAAAUCUAUUCUCAUUGUAAGAUACUUUCGAAGAGUCGAGUUGUUUGGGAAUGCAGCUCUAAGUGGGAGGUAAAUUCCUUCUAAAGCUAAAUAUUGACGAGAGACCGAUAGCGAACAAGUACUGUGAAGGAAAGAUGAAAAGCACUUUGAAAAGAGAGUGAAAAAGUACGUGAAAUUGUUAAAAGGGAAGGGUAUUGAAUCAGACUUGGUGCUGUUGUUCAACUGUGUUUUGGCACAGUGUACUCAGCAGUACUAGGCCAAGGUGGGGUGUUUGGGAGUGAAAAAGAAGUUGGAACGUAACUCUUCGGAGUGUUAUAGCCUACUUUCAUAGCUCCUCAGGCGCCUCAGGACUGCGCUUCGGCAAGGACCUUGGCAUAAUGAUUCUAUACCGCCCGUCUUGAAACACGGACCAAGGAGUCUAACGUCUAUGCGAGUGUUUGGGUGUAAAACCCGUACGCGUAAUGAAAGUGAACGUAGAUAGGAGCAGUAAUGCGCACUAUCGACCGAUCCUGAUGUUUUCAGAUGGAUUUGAGUAAGAGCAUAGCUGUUGGGACCCGAAAGAUGGUGAACUAUGCCUGAAUAGGGUGAAGCCAGAGGAAACUCUGGUGGAGGCUCGUAGCGGUUCUGACGUGCAAAUCGAUCGUCGAAUUUGGGUAUAGGGGCGAAAGACUAAUC
rnacentral:rRNA from 1 species